UAAGUCACCAAAGUGGUGGUGAUGUGUUCUCACUAAACCAUAUCACAGCCAGCUUUGAUGAGCUCAA
rfam:Octopus bimaculoides Scaffold40646_contig_7, whole genome shotgun sequence.